rfam:Haemophilus pittmaniae HK 85 ctg1129913985429, whole genome shotgun sequence.
AAAAUUGCUGGGUCGCCUGCAAUUUU